AGUGAACGCUGGCGGCAGGCCUAACACAUGCAAGUCGAACGGCAGCACAGGAGAGCUUGCUCUCUGGGUGGCGAGUGGCGGACGGGUGAGGAUAGCGUCGGAAUCUGCCUAUUUGUGGGGGAUAACCUCGGGAAACCGGGACUAAUACCGCAUACGACCUACGGGUGAAAGCGGCGGACCUUCGGGCGUCGCGUAGAUAGAUGAGCCGACGUCGGAUUAGCUAGUUGGCGGGGUAAUGGCCCACCAAGGCGACGAUCCGUAGCUGGUCUGACAGGAUGAUCAGCCAAACUGUGACUGGGACACGGGCCAGACUCCUACGGGAGGCAGCAGUGGGGAGUAUUGGACAAUGGGCGCAAGCCUGAUCCAGCCAUGCCGCGUGGGGGAAGAAGGCCUUCGGGUUGUAAAGCCCUUUUGUUGGGAAAGAAAAGCAGCCGGUUAAUACCCGGUUGUCAUGACGGUACCCAAAGAAUAAGCACCGGCUAACUUCGUGCCAGCCGCCGCCGUAA
rnacentral:rRNA from 1 species